GUGCUGGUGGUGUAACGGCGUAUAGCAUGCAUGUCUAGUUAGCAGGUGAUGCGGGUUCGAACCCCGCCUGGCGCU
rnacentral:tRNA from 1 species